rnacentral:misc_RNA from 1 species
AGAGAGAGAGAGAGAGUAAAGAACCCUUGACAAUCUUAAUAAGAAUGGCCAUUAUUUACAGGUUUUUGAAGGCUCCGUUACUCAUUACCACCUUAUAUAUAUUGGCAAAUUUUGAGUUGUAGGUGUAACGGCCAUUACCAUCUUUACGUAAUGGUAAUGGCCCUUAUUUAUUGUUAAGCAAUGGUAACGGCCAUUACCUCAAUUAUGCAUU